GCUGGGUUGGCCGAUUAGUUGAGGCGCCAGACUUAAGAUCUGGUGGGUUCACCAGCUUGAGUUCGAACCUCACACUUAGCA
rfam:Ramazzottius varieornatus DNA, contig: Scaffold006, strain: YOKOZTNA-1.